rnacentral:rRNA from 1 species
AUGUUCAGGCACGCGCUGCAUGCUGUUGCAUCUUUCAGAGAGGAGGAGAUAGCAGCCAGAGUGGAGUACUUGAGGAUCACGUUCAGGUGGACGGAUGAUGAGGUGGGCUUUGCUGUUUCUAGGGCUCCAAUGGUGCUGACGAGGGCUAAGGAAUCGCUGCAGCGCACGUCCGAGCUCCUCAUCUCCGAGGUGGGGUUGGAACCGGCAUACAUUGCUCAUCGGCCGACACUGCUCACUUUCAGCCUGAAGGGCCGGCUAAGGGCCCGACACUAUGUUGUAAAGUUUCUUAAGGAAAAUGGAUUGCUAGGUCGCAACCGGGAUUACUAUUCCGCAGUCAAGAUAACCGAGAAGGAAUUUGUGGAGAAGUUCAUAUGCCCUCACAAGGAAGGUGCACCACACCUGGCUGAUGAUUAUGCGGCAGCCUGCAAAGAUGAAGUGCCGACUAGAUUCAGAUUUAUAUGA